rnacentral:lncRNA from 1 species
GUGUGUCUGUGUGUGUCUGUGUGUGUCUGUGUGUAUGUGAGUGUGUGUGUGCCCUGUGUGUGUCUGUGUAUGUGUGUGUGCACCUGUGUGUGUGACUUUGUGUGUGGUGUGUGAGUGUGUGUGGUGUGUGAGUGUGUGUGUGCCUGUGUGUGACUGUGUGUGUGCCUGUGUGUGUCUGUGUGUGUGACUGUGUGUGUAUGUGACUGUGUGUGAGUGUGUGUGCCUGUGUGUGUGACUGUGUGUGUGUGCCUGUGUAUGUGACUCUGUGUGUGUGUGUGUGUGUGUGUGUGUGUGUGUGUGUGUUCCUGUGCCUGUGUAUGCAGGUGCACGUGCACUUGUGUGCACUGGGUGUGGAGGCAGAGGGACUUAUUUCAAGGUGUCAUUCUACCCGCUCAGUUUUGCUUUUGGCUUACAUUUCCUUUUUUGUUGUUGCUGUUGUUGUUGUUGUUGUUGUUAUUGAGGUGGACGGACUCUCUCACUGGCCUGGAACUCAACAAGUAGGCCAAACUGGAAGGCCAGAAAAGCUAAUGACCCACCUCUCCUUGCCCACUCGGAGACUGUGUGUGCUACUAUCUUACCUAGGGUUUGAUAUGCUGUGAAGAGACACCAUGACCAAGGCAGCUCUUCUAAAGGACAUUUAAUUGGGGCUGGCUUACAGGUUCAGAGGUUCAGUCCAUUAUCAUCAAGAUGGGAACAUGGCAGCAUCCAGGCAGACGUGGUGCAGGAGGAGCUGAGAAUUCUACAUCGUGUUCUGGAGGCAAACAGGAGAAGACUGACUCCCAUGUAGCUAGGAGGAGGGUCUCAUAGCCCACCCCAUCGUGACACACUUUCUCCAACAAGGCCAUACCUCCUAAGAGUGCCACUCUCUGGGCCAAGCACAUACAAACCACCACAGCCACCAUGCAUUGCUUUUUCUACCUGGGUUUUAGAAACGAACUCUGUCUUCCUCCCAGAAAAGUAAGCGUUUUCCUGAGCCAUCUUCUUAGUCCUGGAGACCAUAUCCAUGAAACGUGUUCCCUCCCUGGAUGUGACUUGACUCUCCCCUGCGUGGGGAAAGGAGAACUAGAACUGGGCGUUGAGACCCUAGGUUCUAAGUCAGCCUCUCCCAAGGGUUGAAGUAGAGGCAGAAUUUCCUGGCUUCAGUAAAGAAGAUGUCUCCUCUUCACUGAAGUGCUUUGUUUCCAUAAAGAGCAUCAGAGCUUUAGAGUUGAGGAGAGAAUCUGGAUGACCACAUCUGGGGCCUGAGGUUUCACUGAACUUGAAAUGAAAAUAAUCUUUGCAAAAUAUUUUCAAAAAUAUUUAAUAAACACAGGCUGAAGGCUGCCGCCUAGCUAGACACAUUUUUUUUUUAAAUUAAGGUUUGAAUUCAGAUUAGUAACCUGUUAGCGACCGGCCAAGCCACACAGAGCCAGAGCCCAGCUCUGCCCUUGUCUUCUGCUAAAACAAUGUGGGCUUCUGUUGUCUUCUCCCUAUUCCCGUCUCCAUCCACAGAGUGGGAACGAGGGCCCAUCAUCGGGCAGUCGUGAACGCCAGGUCAGCUGAGUGGAGGAGACAUUGUGAUACACCCCAGAGACAUGCAAGUGUCCUUCCUUCCUUCCUUCCCUACUCCUGUGAGGCAGAUACUUCACCAAGACGAAACCUUCCUCCUGCUCUUGAAUUAGUGCCUUGGGCAUUGGUGAAUGUGAAGCAGAGGGGAAAAAUUGAAAAUCGCUUGUCCAAAGAUGUCUUUCUCUUGCUGGCCUCACUCACUAAUUCUAGAGAGGAAGUGUUUACUGGAGGAUAAGGUACCACACUGAGGAAGAGAGUCCGGCUGCUCCUGCAUGCACCCCGCAGGUCACAGCUCCAGGUCGCAGUCAUCCGUGAGGAAAAUCAGGGCAGGACGUCAAAGCGGGAACUCUGUCAGCUGUUUCCUCUCUUUCUAGACAUUCCAGCCUGCUCGUCUUGUGAUCACUUAGGGGCCAGCAACGCCAUUCCAUGAGCCAUUGGCUUGUUGAUGAAUCAAGCCAGGUUAAGCUUGUGAUGUAGCAAUUGAUGACCUUGAAAUUCUUCUUUGGCUUCCCCAGCUGGGGCCACAGCUGUGCAUCACCACACCUGGUAUACGCAGCCCUGGGAACAGAACUCAAGGCGUUGUGCAUGCUAGGCAAGCAUUCUGCCGCCGAACUAUAUACCCAGCUGCCCACGGAACACCUACAGGAGUUCAUGCCAAGGGGCAGUUCCAGGAAAGGACACUGCUGCUACAG